rnacentral:misc_RNA from 1 species
UGUGGGAGCUGGCUUGCCUGCGAUAGCGGUGGGUCUGCCAACUCAUCAUUGACUGGUCUACCGCUAUCGCAGGCAAGCCAGCUCCUACA